GGAUAUAGCUCAGUUGGUAGAGUGCUUGCCUUGCAUGCACAAGGUCCUGGGUUUGAUCCCCAGCACCA
rnacentral:tRNA from 1 species